AAAUGCCUGUAUAUGUGGAGAAUACCACAACAAAAAGAAAAAUGAUAUGAUUUUCUACAAAUAUAUGCUAUACCUACCAAAACCUCAUGGGUGUUGCAAAGGGAAAUAAGAGAUUAGGGGCUAUUCCUCCAUUGAAGAAAAUACUUAACUGUUCUCCUAUUUCUUUCUCUGCAUGUAAGGGUCAAGUCGAGUCGAGCAACAUCUAACACCUUGCGUCUUCUCUUCCGUCAGCUAUUCAAUACUUCUCUUAUAUGAUUGAAGUUCAAAACUACUCGGUUCUUGCACGUUUUGACUGUGCUUGAUUCAUCCAGUCGAUGCAUUCUUCAGCUGAACCAGAAGGGUGUGCGAGCUGCCACUCCAGCAGUUUUUGUUGCCAUUCACUAACAACUGGCCCUCCACUUUUAAUCUCCAAAAUAUUCAUAAUUUCCUUUCCAUUAACCAGUGGUUUCAUUUCCCAAACCUUCUCCAGACCUAGUGUUCUUACUGCAUUCUCUACUGUCUUAAAUAAUCCGCUACUCUUGUCCAGUUCAAAGUUCUCAUUUGAGAAACUUGUAGAGGACACAACGUCAACAGGAUGUAGCAGCAUAGAUAGAAGAAGAGCGACACGCCAAAAUUCUUUAAUUUCUCGAAGUAGCAAACCAGUCAAUAUUCUAAGUUUUGAAGCUAUUGGAACCUCAAUGGUAUCCCUUUCCCAAUCAACUUCAAGAACUUGGAUAUCGUCUUUAGAAAUGAGUAGUGAUAUUAAGGUGACAAACUUCCUAGUUACCGUAUGCAAGCUCAUGACUAUUUCCGCAUCACUGGCCUUCAACUUGAGAGAAUUGCGAAAAAUAUAAUUGACAACUGGAAUCUUUUUGGCUUUGUUAUCUCUAUAAAUGGUCUCUCUGAAUGGCAAA
rnacentral:misc_RNA from 1 species